GUCAGAGCCCACAUGCUGAAACCCUACCCCAGUCAUGACCCCUUUCCUGGUCCCCAAGUCCUUGCCCUAGCACCUGUGCAUCCCAACUGCCUGCUCCAAGCUCAGCUCAGAGCCUCUCUCACACUGCAGAUCCCUUAAUCCAAGACCAGAGCCUGCACCCCAAACGUUUGCCCCAGCCUGAUGAAAGUGAGUGAGGAUGGGCCAGAGAGAGAGGUUGGAGGUAGCAGGUGCAAGGCCUCGGAGAAGGGGCAAGGGUAUUUAUAGAGGAGGUAGAUCUCAGAAUGCACUUACAUUCAAAAAGUGAUCUAAUGCUUUAAAAAGUUGGAGACCCCUGGUGUACUCAAUCAGAGGUACACAUACCCCUGAGGAUACACAGAGGUAUUCUAGGGAGUAUAUCAACUCAUCUAGACAUACGUAGUUUUAAAACAGGUUAUAUACAAAUCACUAGCAAAGACAGUAUAAAUUAAAAUUUCAGUGACUUAUUUAUGCUGCUCUAUCUAUAUUUAUUUUUAGAGAGUUUGUGUGUCUGUCUGUCCAUUAGUCCAUCCAUUCAAGAAUUCCUUUGAAACAAAAAGAGUUAGGACCAUCAAAUUUGAGCCACUGACCGGGCAGCGUGACCCCAGGCACCCGAGUAACCAGAGCAACCCCAGUGAUCCUCCCCACAUUUCCCAGCCUGGAUUCCUGCACGCACACCCCUCUAAUGCCCUCAGCCUCCACGAGGACCCGAGCAAUGCCAGCCCUCAAAAGAAGUUAAAUGCUACACACAAUGCUUCCCAGCAUGGCCAUUUUAUUCAGUGCCAAGACCAAAGAGAGAGACAUCCUUCAUGAUAAAAGAAAGAGGCAUGCAGACCCUGUACCAUCAAAAGCAUUUAAACAGCCUUUACUUUUAGAAAGAUACAGACCAGUUUCCUGGACAUACCAUGGGCAAUGAUGAUCCAUUUUUAACACACACCUGCAAAAGGAAAAAAAAGAAAAAGAAUACAACGACGAGGGUCUUCAUGUUUGGAACUUAUACAGACUCAUAAACAAAGAUUCCACCAACUGUAAGUCAGCAACAAAGUCUUCUGUUUUGUGUUGGAUUUCUAUAAAGAGAUAGAUUUAAGAUGGCUGCUAUCAUUCCAUCUUUCGUAAAGCAGCCACUAUUUUAAGGUGGACUAUUUGUUGUUGUAAGAGCAAGCAAUGUCCCUUGUGCUGUACAAAACACAAAAUGAAGAUGGUUCCUAAUCUGGGGUACUUACAAUCUUUGCAUUACCAAUACAAGGAAAAGAUGUGACACAUUAAAAAAAGACAUUACUUUUGAAUGCACUUACUAGUGGCUAAUGCUUUACAUAAGCGGGCACACUUUGGAAUUUGGUGGACAAGUUUCACAUCCAUGCAGGCACAAGUGUAGCAAAAUGUAAUCACAAAACUUAAUAGAGACACAAAGUGUUUUGAGAGUGCAAAUGUUAACACUUACGUGCAUAUAGGUGCCGGCACAUAUAUGUGCACAAGUACAAAUGAAGACCUAUUAGAAACACUUUUGAUAGUUUUUCCUUUACUGUUUGGGUGUUCUUGAACACAGGAAAACUUUUGGGUACCUCUGUAUGUAUAAGUACAUGUUUAAGACAUUGUCAUUUUUGUUGCUUAGUAGCGGCUAAA